UCCCUGGUGGUCCAUUGGUUAGGAUCUUGUGUUUCCACUGCAGAGGCCCAGGUUCGAUCUCUGGUCAUGGAA
rnacentral:tRNA from 1 species